rnacentral:rRNA from 1 species
GAUGAACGCUGGCGGCGUGCCUAACACAUGCAAGUCGAACGGAGUUAUUAUUAUGAAGUUUUCGGAUGGAUUGAUAAUAACUUAGUGGCGGACGGGUGAGUAACGCGUGGGUAACCUGCCUCAUACAGGGGGAUAACAGUUGGAAACGGCUGCUAAAACCGCAUAAGCAUACAUUGCCGCAUGGCAGAGUGUGAAAAUAUUUAUAGGUAUGAGAUGGGCCCGCGUCUGAUUAGCUAGUUGGUGAGGUAAUGGCUCACCAAGGCAACGAUCAGUAGCCGGCUUGAGAGAGUGACCGGCCACAUUGGGACUGAGACACGGCCCAAACUCCUACGGGAGGCAGCAGUGGGGAAUAUUGCACAAUGGGGGAAACCCUGAUGCAGCGACGCCGCGUGAGUGAAGAAGUAUUUCGGUAUGUAAAGCUCUAUCAGCAGGGAAGAAAAUGACGGUACCUGACUAAGAAGCCCCGGCUAACUACGUGCCAGCAGCCGCGGUAAUACGUAGGGGGCAAGCGUUAUC